rnacentral:lncRNA from 1 species
GUCUUGCUUCGAAGAUCAGAUACGUUCAUUGCCGUCUUCAGGUAAUAAAUCAGAUUAAUUUUAGUUGUAAUUAAUUAAUCAAUGGUUAAUUUUGUAUUUGAUCAUUCAAUCUUUUCAGCAUCAACUUGGGUUUACAAUCAGUGAUUGUUCUUAUAAUGUUGAUGAAGAAAGUUAUAGGUGCAGUGAGUAAAGGAAUGCAGUGAACAAAAUGAAGUAGAUGAUGAUGAUAAUAAUGAUGAUGAUAACAAUGAUGAUGAUGAUAACAAUGAUGAUGAUAACAAUGAUGAUGAUAACAAUGAUGAUGAUGAUAACAAUGAUGAUGAUAACAAUGAUGAUGAUAACAAUGAUGAUGAUGACAAUGAUGGAGGAGAUGAUAAAGUUAUUGAAGUAGAAGAUGAACUUCAAGUCUUCAACCACUAAAGAAAAGGAUGAAGUGGUUAAAAAGGUUUUAUGAAUCUUGAAGAUUGAAAUGUUGGUUUUUAAUAUUUCCACCCAUUUUGAAUAAAAAUAUUAAUAAUAUUCGACGCUCGACAAAAUGGUUUUAAUUUACGAAUAUUUUUGUCUCGUUCUUGUAAAUUGCCAUACAAAUCUUUUCCAACGAACAACGACGUUUCUCCAAAGUCCAAAACAAC